UAGUAACUGCGAGUGAAGCGGGAAAAGCUCAAAUUUAAAAUCUGGCAGUCUCUGGCUGUCCGAAUUGUAAUCUAGAGAAGCAUUAUCCGCGUUGGACCGUGUACAAGUCUCCUGGAAUGGAGCGUCAUAGAGGGUGAGAAUCCCGUCUUUGACACGGACUACCAAGGCAUUGUGAUGUGCUCUCAAAGAGUCGAGUUGUUUGGGAAUGCAGCUCUAAAUGGGUGGUAAAUUCCAUCUAAAGCUAAAUAUUGGCGAGAGACCGAUAGCGAACAAGUACCGUGAGGGAAAGAUGAAAAGAACUUUGGAAAGAGAGUUAAACAGUACGUGAAAUUGUUGAAAGGGAAACGCUUGAAGUCAGUCGCGUUGUCUAAGGAUCAACCUUUGCUCUUUUGCUUGGUGUAUUUCUUAGUUGACGGGUCAGCAUCAAUUUUGAUCAGUGGAUAAAGGUCAAGGGAAUGUGACAUCCUCGGAUGUGUUAUAGCCUUUGAUUGCAUACAUUGAUUGGGAUUGAGGAACUCAGCACGCCGAAAGGCCGGGUUUAAUUACUACGUUCGUGCUUAGGAUGCUGGCAUAAUGGCUUUAAUCGACCCGUCUUGAAACACGGACCAAGGAGUCUAACAUGCAUGCGAGUGUUUGGGUGGAAAACCCGAGCGCGUAAUGAAAGUGAAAAUUGGGAACCCUUUGUUGGGUGCACCGAUGCCUGGACUUGAACUUUUGUGAUAGAUCUACGGUUGAGCAUGUAUGCUGGGACCCGAAAGAUGGUGAACUAUGCCUGAAUAGGGUGAAGCCAGAGGAAACUCUGGUGGAGGCUCGUAGCGAUUCUGACGUGCAAAUCGAUCGUCAAAUUUGGGUAUAGGGGCGAAAGACUAAUCGAAC
rnacentral:rRNA from 1 species